AUGCAGCAGCCGCGGUAUUCCAGCUCCAUAGCGUAUAUUAAGUUGUUGCAGUUAAAAAGCUCGUAGUUGAACUUUGGGCCUGGGCGGACGGUCUACCUAUGGUAAGCACUGUUGCGGCCGGGUCUUUCCUUCUGGCUAGCCCUCGGGCGAACCAGGACGAUUACUUUGAGGAAAUUAGAGUGUUCAAAGCAGGCCUUUGCUCGGAUAUAUUAGCAUGGAAUAAUAGAAUAGGACGCAUGGUUCUAUUUUGUUGGUUUCUAGGACCAUCGUAAUGAUUAAUAGGGACGGUCGGGGGCAUCAGUAUUCAGUCGUCAGAGGUGAAAUUCUUGGAUUGACUGAAGACUAACUACUGCGAAAGCAUUUGCCAAGGACGUUUUCAUUAAUCAAGAACGAAAGUUAGGGGAUCGAAGAUGAUCAGAUACCGUCGUAGUCUUAACCAUAAACUAUGCCGACUAGGGAUCGGGUGGUGCUACUUUGCCCACUCGGCACCUUACGAGAAAUCAAAGUUUUUGGGUUCUGGGGGGAGUAUGGUCGCAAGGCUGAAACUUAAAGGAAUUGACGGAAGGGCACCACCAGGAGUGGAGCCUGCGUUUUAAUUUGACUCAACACGGGGAAACUCACCAGGUCCAGACGUAAUAAGGAUUGACAAGUUAGAGACUUCUCGUGAUCUUACGGGUGGUGGUGCAUGGCCGUUUUUAGUCCUUGGAGUGAGUUGUCUGCUUAAUUGCGAUAACGGACGAGACCUAAACCUGCGAAAUAGGGCUGCGAGCAUCUCCGCGGGUGCUCUUCUUAGAGGGACUAUGGUAAUCAAACACAUGGAAGUUUGAGACAACAACAGGUCUGUGAUGCCCUUAGACGUUCUGGGCCGCACGCGGCUUAAAUUAAA
rnacentral:rRNA from 1 species